rnacentral:tmRNA from 1 species
GGGGGCGAACUGGAUUCGACCGGAUAGCUUGAAGUGUCAGUGGCGUGUCGUGGUUGGUCAGUUGGCCACGUUAAAAGCUGACCACAAUCUUAAGUGCCGAGGAAAACCUCGUCCUGGCUGCCUAACAAAAGGUAGUCCCGGCUGCGGGCCUUAACCGGAGAGGCCCAAAAGCCGGUUGCCAAAUCCGGUUCGCGACUGGUCAUGCCGGGAACGCCGGUCGCUAAACUACGUCCUCGGCUGGCUCACCCAAGACCGUGUCGGUUGGGGCUUGGCGAGCGAGAACCAAAGAACCGACUACACACGUAGAAGCUGGUGCGGAAAUAUCACGGGACGCGGGUUCGAUUCCCGCCGCCUCCACCU